GAGCUAAUGAUGAUAAAUGUUAUAUAUUUUACCGAUUUUAGCGAGGUUUUAUCAAUGAUCCAAAUGUUACUCACACUUGAGCCU